rnacentral:rRNA from 1 species
GGAAGUCUUCCACAAUGGGCGAAAGCCUGAUGGAGCAACGCCGCGUGUGUGAUGAAGGCUUUCGGGUCGUAAAGCACUGUUGUAUGGGAAGAACAGCUAGAAUAGGAAAUGAUUUUAGUUUGACGGUACCAUACCAGAAAGGGACGGCUAAAUACGUGCCAG